UACGUAGGGUGCGAGCGUUAAUCGGAAUUACUGGGCGUAAAGCGUGCGCAGGCGGUUUUGUAAGCCAGAUGUGAAAUCCCCGGGCUCAACCUGGGAAUGGCAUUUGGGACUGCAAGGCUGGAGUACGGAAGAGGAGACUGGAAUUCCUGGUGUAGCAGUGAAAUGCGUAGAUAUCAGGAGGAAUACCGAUGGCGAAGGCAGGUCUCUGGGCUGAUACUGACGCUCAUGCACGAAAGCGUGGGGAGCAAACAGG
rnacentral:rRNA from 1 species